rnacentral:rRNA from 1 species
AAUCAACGCUGGCGGCGUGCCUCAGACAUGCAAGUCGAACGAUUAAGACUUCCUUCGGGAAGUGUAUAAAGUGGCGCACGGGUGAGUAACACGUAAGUAAUCUACCUUCGAGUGGGGAAUAACAUCGGGAAACCGAUGCUAAUACCGCAUAAUGCAGCGGCAUCGCAAGAUGACAGUUGUUAAAGGAGCAAUUCGCUUGAAGAGGAGCUUGCGGCAGAUUAGCUAGUUGGUAAGGUAAUGGCUUACCAAGGCUACGAUCUGUAUCCGGUCUAAGAGGACGGUCGGACACACUGACACUGAAUAACGGGUCAGACUCCUACGGGAGGCAGCAGUCGGGAAUUUUGGGCAAUGGGCGAAAGCCUGACCCAGCAACGCCGCGUGAGGGAUGAAGUAUUUCGGUAUGUAAGCCUCGAAAGAAUGGGAAGAAUAAAUGACGGUACCAUUUAUAAGCUCCGGCUAACUACGUGCCAGCCGCCGCCGUAAUAC